rnacentral:rRNA from 1 species
UGCGUAGGCGGAUCAAUAAGUCAGUGGUGAAAUCUCUCGGCUCAACCGGGAAACUGCCAUUGAUACUGUUGAUCUUGAGUUCGGUUGAGGUAGGCGGAAUGUGUAAUGUAGCGGUGAAAUGCUUAGAUAUUACACAGAACACCAAUUGCGUAGGCAGGUUACUAGACCGACACUGACGCUGAGGCACGAAAGCGUGGGGAGCGAACAGGAUUAGAUACCCUGGUAGUCC